UGUGGGCUAGGCUACUGCACUACUGUUGUUGACGCAGUCGCAUUAAAAUUAAUCAAGAACUACGUAGGCUACUUGAUCAGCAUCAUGGGGCUGGAGAGACUGAAUGGGCUAUCUGUAUGCUACUUGCUCUAAGGUCAGAGGUCGUGAGCUGAAUUUGAAGUAGAACGCUGAUGAUUUUGCACAACACAAGUUCGGCUCCUCGGUUGCCCUGAAAACGAUUUCCACCACACCGCCCGCUCUUGUAGGUACACCAGGAGAGCUCCAGGCCAAUGGUGUCCCCUCCUCCAAUGAGCUGACCUGUGGUCCGGUGUCUAACUGAGCCAGCACGGUACCGACAAGAGAAAGCCGGUGCCAACUGGAGCAGAGGUACUGGAGACAGCUGGCAGCCUGUGGGAACCCGACAUGACCUAAUGAGGAACACAUAUACUGGGCAACCUGAUGAACCCUGGAAGACUUAAAACCUAUCCUUCCCUCUGUGUCCUGCCACAGAUCAUUGCUCCCAACAGGAAAUGGCUGUGUAUGUUGGGGAAAAAGAUGACACAUUGUGAACAAGUGAAACUGUCUGCCUUAUCUCAAACAAGCAGUAAAAAUCCAAGAGGCACGCAUCACUCACUCAGUCUUUUUUGGGGCUUUAAUAUACAGGUUAAUACUUGGAUGCAAAGCCAGUGAGAUAAGCCAGUGAAAAGUGUUGGGAGUUCACUGUGAGGUGUGUGCAUUUAGCUGUGCUGAGGCAACAGCGUUGUGCAGUGGUCCAGGCAAUCACCUUGCAGAGGUUACAGGAACAAGUCCAAAACGAUCCUUGUAAAUGCUGUAGUGUACUGCCUGGUGAUUUAAGUGCCUUGUUUGUGCAAUGGCUCAACCUGAACAGCUUGCCGUAAAUACCUAACUGUAAAAAUAGUUUAAUAGGUACUUUAAAAAAAAAAAAAAGAAAAGAAGUAAGUAUAUGAGUAAUUGCUUCUGCAUUGGAGGAUUUACUAAUUGAAUAAUAAAAAGCAGUCCAACUUGUCCAAAACUUGUCCAACUUGUACCAGAAUGGCCAGGUAGUUAUACCGUGGAAUGUGAAGUACCCAGCAGAACCUUGUGUCUCCGUAGUUACGAGAGGUGAAGCAAACCGCAGUAAACAAACUGAAUGUGCCUUGCACAAACAAGUGCACCCAUCAGGCACAGUACAGCCGUUUGCAGAAACUUUUAUAAAUGAGAGCGGUUGCAAUAAAAUCAUAUGUGACUGGUUCUAAUUGAUGAACCAGCUCCAUCUUUUUGCUGAAAAACUGCAGGGCUCAAUUCUGAAAAGCCCAAUCAUUUUGUUCCUGCAUCACCAGAUGUCCUUAGGUAUGUCGACUCGUCAUUAUUAUUAUAGUUGUGUCCUAAGAGGAUUUGUCUGCAAUGGAUUUCAGAUAUGUAUUGAUAUUUGUAUGUAAUUUAGACUGCACAAUUUCUAAGUCAUUAAGAUGACAAAUGACAGAUGCACAUUGCUUGGGACAACAACAAAAAAAUUGCUAAAUAUAUCAAAA